UGGGGAAUAUUGCACAAUGGGCGCAAGCCUGAUGCAGCCAUGCCGCGUGUAUGAAGAAGGCCUUCGGGUUGUAAAGUACUUUCAGCGGGGAGGAAGGGAGUAAAGUUAAUACCUUUGCUCAUUGACGUUACCCGCAGAAGAAGCACCGGCUAACUCCGUGCCAGCAGCCGCGGUAAUACGGAGGGUGCAAGCGUUAAUCGGAAUUACUGGGCGUAAAGCGCACGCAGGCGGUUUGUUAAGUCAGAUGUGAAAUCCCCGGGCUCAACCUGGGAACUGCAUCUGAUACUGGCAAGCUUGAGUCUCGUAGAGGGGGGUAGAAUUCCAGGUGUAGCGGUGAAAUGCGUAGAGAUCUGGAGGAAUGCCGGUGGCGAAGGCGGCCCCCUGGACGAAGACUGACGCUCAGGUGCGAAAGCGUGGGGAGCAAACAGG
rnacentral:rRNA from 1 species